rnacentral:rRNA from 1 species
GACGUAGGGGGCGAGCGUUGUCCGGAUUUAUUGGGCGUAAAGCGCGCGUAGGCGGCCGCUCAAGUCGGGUGUGAAAACCCGGGGCUCAACCCCGGGCCUGCAUUCGAUACUGGGUGGCUAGAGGCAGGCAGGGGAGAGUGGAAUUCCUGGUGUAGCGGUGAAAUGCGCAGAUAUCAGGAGGAACACCGGUGGCGAAGGCGGCUCUCUGGAACGGUACUGACGCUGAGACGCGAAAGCGUGGGGAGCGAACAGG